GAUGAACGCUGGCGGCGUGCCUAAUACAUGCAAGUCGAGCGAACCACUUCGGUGGUGAGCGGCGAACGGGUGAGUAACACGUAGGUGAUCUGCCCAUCAGACGGGGACAACGAUUGGAAACGAUCGCAAAUACCGGAUAGGACGAAAGUUUAAAGGUGCGUCUGGCACCGCUGAUGGAUGAGCCUGCGGCGCAUUAGCUAGUUGGUAGGGUAAAGGCCUACCAAGGCGACGAUGCGUAGCCGACCUGAGAGGGUGAACGGCCACACUGGGACUGAGACACGGCCCAGACUCCUACGGGAGGCAGCAGUAGGGAAUCUUCGGCAAUGGGCGAAAGCCUGACCGAGCAACGCCGCGUGAAUGAUGAAGGCCUUCGGGUUGUAAAAUUCUGUUAUAAGGGAAGAACGACUUUAGUAGGAAAUGGCUAGAGUGUGACGGUACCUUAUGAGAAAGCCACGGCUAACUACGUGCCAGCAGCCGCGGUAAGAC
rnacentral:rRNA from 1 species